rnacentral:rRNA from 1 species
UGCUACCGCUUUUGGAUGGGCCCGCGGCGCAUUAGCUAGUUGGUGGGGUAAAGGCUUACCAAGGCAAUGAUGCGUAGCCGAACUGAGAGGUUGAUCGGCCACAUUGGGACUGAGACACGGCCCAAACUCCUACGGGAGGCAGCAGUAGGGAAUCUUCCACAAUGGGCGAAAGCCUGAUGGAGCAACGCCGCGUGGGUGAAGAAGGUCUUCGGAUCGUAAAACCCUGUUGUUAGAGAAGAAAGUGCGUGAGAGUAACUGUUCACGUUUCGACGGUAUCUAACCAGAAAGCCACGGCUAACUACGUGCCAGCAGCCGCGGUAAUACGUAGGUGGCAAGCGUUAUCCGGAUUUAUUGGGCGUAAAGGGAACGCAGGCGGUCUUUUAAGUCUGAUGUGAAAGCCUUCGGCUUAACCGGAGUAGUGCAUUGGAAACUGGGAGACUUGAGUGCAGAAGAGGAGAGUGGAACUCCAUGUGUAGCGGUGAAAUGCGUAGAUAUAUGGAAGAACACCAGUGGCGAAAGCGGCUCUCUGGUCUGUAACUGACGCUGAGGUUCGAAAGCGUGGGUAGCAAACAGGAUUAGAUACCCUGGUAGUCCACGCCGUAAACGAUGAAUGCUAAGUGUUGGAGGGUUUCCGCCCUUCA